rnacentral:misc_RNA from 1 species
ACUUGUUCACCUUUUUCUACAUAAUAUAAAAACUUUUCAUAUUCAAAUCAUAAUCUUUGUCAAUUAUGCAAAAGAUUGUAAUAUUAGUAAAUAAAAGUUAACUCAUAAAUCUUCAUAAUCCAACUCAUAAAUCUUCAUAAUCCUUUUUAAAAAGUGGCUCAAACUUGUCGAUAAUGCCAAUGUUGGCCUCGUGAAAAAGUGCCUCAUGGCCACAGACUUUACGAAAGCUUACGCCUCCACCUGUAGCGUACAAAUUAAUUUCUCGAACGUUUCACGCCACCCUUUUAAAAGAGAGUUAAAGAAUGAAACGCCAUACAACUCCCAAAAAUUCAUUUCAUUUUUUACUUUCUUCUAAGCUUAUAUCAUCUGCCUCUUCCAAUGGCUCAGGUACCUUCUUCUUUUCUUCCCUAUGAAUAUAAUCACCUAUAAUUCUGUAUACUUUCUUUCUGUAAGUUGUUUAAUGCAAUUCUUUUGUAAGCAAUUUAUGUGAAAGAAAAAGAUAGGUUCUUUUUCUACUCUGCUGUCUAACAUCUCUGGUGAGAUUUUGUAGCAGAAGGCGGUGCUAAAGAUCUUGACCAUGACCGAUGAUAAGACUAAGCAGAAGGCCAUAGAAGCUGCUGCUGAUAUUUAUGGUAUUUUUGGUUUUCUUUUCCUUUCUACUUUCUGCAACUAAGACUUUGUCCAUUCUUCACUUUUCUAUGGAAGAAAGUUAGAGAUCAUCUUGUAUCAGAUUCAUAUUAGAAGAUUGAAAAAACAGGGGUUGAUUCGAUUGCCGCUGAUCUGAAGGAGCAAAAGCUAACAGUGAUAGGGCUGAUGGAUCCAGUUGCAGUGGUGAAGAAGUUGAAGAAAGUAGGGAAAGUGGACAUAAUUUCGGUUGGGCCUGCCAAAGAAGAAAAGAAAGAAGAGAAAAAAGAAGAGAAACCUGCAGAAGAACCGAAACCAGAAGAGAAAAAAGAAGAAAACUCGGAGAAGAAAGAAGAGGAUAAAAAACCUCCAGAAGAGGAACCCAAGAAGCAAGAUGGU